rnacentral:lncRNA from 1 species
AUUAUAUCAACCAAAUAUAGGCUAUCAUAUGUUGAUAAAAGACCAGUACCGAUAAGAUUUGAAUUUUGAAAGAGACUAACUUUAUUGUCACCAAAUGAAAAUGUAUAACCGGAUAUGUCCAAUUUGGGAACAGAAAUUAAAUUCCGUCUAAAGACGGUACAACAAAUGUCUCAUUCAAAUCUAAACAAAAACCAGUCUUAAACAACAGCCUAAAUUUGCCAAUAGCCUCAACUUGCACCUUUUUGCC